GUGAAGAAACAUGCUUAGAAAACCAUAGAUCGUAGUCAAUAUAGGACGAUCUUACUCAGAAUCAUAUUGGAAUGGCCUGAAACAGGUGAGAAAGGAACCAUAGAUGCAAGCCAACUAGCUCGAGUCCCUUGAGGUCCCUGGAGAUGGCAAGAUUAACGUGAGGGAGGCCAUUGGAGGCCUGGGAGGUGGUGAAAAAUCAUCGGGGAUGGUCAUGGACGAGGGUCAGGAAGGUUUGAUUAAGGUUAGGUUAAAAGCUUUAGAGAUAUGAGAGAAACAGAUGACGGCAGUGAGAAGAGGAA
rnacentral:lncRNA from 1 species